rnacentral:rRNA from 1 species
GAUGAACGCUAGCGGCAGGCCUAAUACAUGCAAGUCGAACGGUGUAGCAAUACACAGUGGCGCACGGGUGCGUAACACGUAUGCAACCUACCUUACAUUGGGGGAUAGCCUUUCGAAAGGGAGAUUAAUACCGCAUAAGACAGUAACUAGGCAUCUAGUAGCUGUUAAAGAUUUAUCGAUGUAAGCUGGGCAUGCGUCCAAUUAGUUAGUUGGCGAGGUAAUGGCCCACCAAGACGAUGAUUGGUAGGGGAACUGAGAGGUCAAUCCCCCACACUGGCACUGAGAUACGGGCCAGACUCCUACGGGAGGCAGCAGUAGGGAAUAUUGGGCAAUGGGCGCAAGCCUGACCCAGCCAUGCCGCGUGCAGGAAGAAGGCGUUAUGCGUUGUAAACUGCUUUUAUACAGGAAGAAACGACCCUUGCGAGGGGCAUUGACGGUACUGUAUGAAUAAGCACCGGCUAACUCCGUGCCAGCCGCCGCGGUAAAAC